rnacentral:tRNA from 1 species
GCUAAUUUGGUGUAAUAAGCACAUUGGCCUUUCAUGCCAAAAGAACGUGACUCUCGUACUUAGCU